CAUAUUGCAGUGUGUUUUAAUAUAUUACUGACCGUGAAAUAACGUACAGUUUGUGUUUCAGGAUUUUGUGUUAAUAUUGUGUAUUUUAACUUUGUUAUAUUAUUUAUUAUCUACUAUUGUAAUGAUGGAAUUUGUUAUCGUUUUGAUAUUUUGUGUGGUUCUUGUGAUUGCUGUAAUGGUAAUUGGUUCCGGGAUGGGGAAAGCUACUUCUUCGCAGCGUCAGAUGGACAUCAUUAACGUCGCUCAGAACUUAUAUGUUUUAAUUAGGAAAGGCGACUUGAAGAAAUGUGACGUUACGCAGACGACCGCGUUUCUUCUCAACAUCGCAAAGUCAACUGUUCUCAAGUACUACAAGAAAGACAUUGAAGAAGUUUCAACACCAGGAAAAAAGAGGAAAAAAAGGCCACAGGAAGGAAAGUCACUUGACACAGUCGACGAUUUCACAGUAAAUGCAAUCAGGAAUGCAAUUUACAGGAUGUACGCUGAAGGUUUGAAUGUUACAGUCGACACCAUUUUGAAAGAAAUCAGGGAAAGACAAAUAGAUUAUUAUGGUGGAAGAUCAAGUCUUCAUAAAUUGUUAAAGAAGAUGGGAUUUUCAUGGACAACUGUUGAUGGACGAAAAGCUUUGAUAGAGAAUGAAAACAUAGUAUUGAAGCGAAUAGAUUUCUUGAGAAAGUAUAAAGAAGAAAAAGAAAGAGGUGCCAAUUUCAUAUUUGUUGAUGAAACAUGGAUUUUCCAGAGAGGCAAGGCAUUAAUUUAUUUGAAAAUUUGUUCUGUGGUCCAAUACAAAGUAUUUCAUUUCCAUUUCAUAUAUUUUUCAGGAACUGUAUCAAAGUCAUGGCAGGACAAGAGUCUACAAUCUGCGAAGAGACGUACUGUUGGAGAUGGUAAAAGGUUUAUUGUUGUUAAUGCUGGAGGGCGCACUGGCUUUGUGCCAGGAGCAGGAUUACUUUUUGUUUCAGGUCAGAAGACUGCAGACUACCAUGGCGAGAUGAAUGGGGAAACUUUCUUGAUGUGGUUUGAAGACAUGUUGGUGCAUCUGGAGGAACCCAGUGUCAUUAUAAUGGACAAUGCUUCAUAUCACAGCACCCAGGUUGAGAAAACACCUACAACGAACUGGACCAAGGAUGCACUGAUCGCGUGGCUGGAGAAGAAUGAGAUAAAACAUGAAAAUAAUUUGUUGAAAGUGGAGCUGCUGAGAAUAGCUAAACAAAACAAGCCCCGAAUACGGUAUAUUAUUUCGUUUUUUUUACAGCAUUUCUUUAAAAGUGAGAUAGUUGCAAAAAAUUACGUAUACGCCUUGUUCUAACACACUUUUCAGAUAUGAGGUAGACGAGUUGGCUUGUAACUAUGGCCACAAAAUUCUACGACUCCCACCCUAUCACUGCCACUAUAAUGCAAUCGAACUAGUUUGGGCUCAAUGUAAACACCAUUACAAUAGUAACGUGGGGCGGGCCAAGAGAUUUGACAAUGAUGCAGUUGCAGCCAUCUGGAAAGAGGCUCUUGAUGCUUCCACACCAGAGAGAUGGGCGAGGUGUGUGGAUCACGUGGAGAAGCUAAUUCAAGCAGACUGGGAGAGAGAAGUCCACAUAGACAGCGGCACCAUUCCUCCACUCAUCAUCCACCUCGGCGAGGAUAGUUCAAGUGAAGACAGUGACAGCGAAGAAUUUGAGGUUACGACACAGCAAGUAGAUGGAGACAGUGAAGUACUGGCAGUUCCUCUUGAUGAUUUACCCGGGUGUUCUUAUUGAGGUCUGUAUGUAAUAAACACCUGGGCAACUGUAAGUAUUGGGGUUUGAAACAUUUUUUUUUUCUUUUAUGCAUUCCCAUUAAGUAUGUUGAUUACUGGAACUUUAUGUAUUAACUUUAUAU